CAGAAACCUGUUUGUACCUGUAACAGAAUGGUAGUUUGGCACACACCGAUUGGUUUAAAAAUGGCAGAAGCUGGUCUAAGAUUUGCCUCCCAACCGAAGGGCGAACGUGCGUUCUGUUUGCUGCGGAUCGAAACUACGCAACUUAGAUCGAUUCCGUCUCGGGCUUUUUGAAUGUCUGUGCCUAGCCCAUAUCUUUCUGUCAUGCCUCAAGAAACGGUAUCGGGUUCCAAAUUAAACACUUGGAAAAUAUCCAGCUGCGUUACAAGCCUGGCUGAAAUAUCCCAAGAAAAAGAGAAGAAAAUUGUUUUAAAAGAAGGCUGGUAGAGUCUUUCCAGCCUAGGGACUGUAAGGUUUCCCCAGAAAAAAAGAGAGAUCUACCUUGCAAUCAGCUGUGUGUCUUCUUCAUAAUUACUAGGGUAACCUCAAUGAUCUCAAAUCAGGCACCCUGGGCUGGUUCUCUUGCCUCGUUCUUCUCACUGGCCUCUGGGAUGCACAAUGGCACAGGAAAGUAUGUGUGGAGGAAGGAAUCAGCAGAAAGGACCCUUUAGGAAGAAAGAAAGCAAAGGCGCUGAGAACGACGCCCUUGCUUGAGGGUGGAGAGGAGAUAUGGAGAAUAUAGUGUGAAACUGCUGCCCAGGGAAACAGUUUUCUGGGGAUAGUAUCUCACGUUCAGUGGCUCAUUCACUACAGGACUUCUGUGCUCAGGUUAGCAUGCAGGGACUCAGCAAGUGGCAAGAGCAGUCAUGAAUAAAGAUACGGGUUGGGGGGUACGGUUUGGUGGG
ensembl:lncRNA